CUUCCUCAUCUACACUAUUAGGAACAUCCAGUCUUUCUUAUUUGGCAUUGAAAUGAUUGGAACUUCAUACGUCUUCAUCAAAGUUGCUGGUUUGUAGUAUUUUGAAUAAUAUGGAACAAAAUCUUUUACAUGUUUAGACUUCAAAAUGGCAAUAACAUGAGGACAAGGUAUUUGAUCUAUUUGGAACCUCCCACAGUUGCAAGAGCCACAUUCAAGUUCGACAAUGUAUCUUCGUCCAGAUUCAUAAACUGAGUAUAUGUAGGAUGAUGAUGCCUUCACCUGAACAAAAUAAAAAGUUCAAACAUUAAACUUUCUAUCGAUUUUUUUUAAAAAAGUUUAACAGUGAAUGAAAUAAUACAUAUAAAUGCAUAGUAAAAAUUCUGAAAAAUCAUACAUACCGUCAUCCUCAAAGCUUUCAUCUUACAAAAUUCCAAUUGAAAUUUUUUUUUUCAGAGCGAUAAAGAAAUCAGUGUUUUGAUUUAUUUUUUGGUGUGUGAUUUUCGUAUGAUUUGUUUUUAAUGUAUUUGAUUAAUUCAGAAUUUGAAAUUCAGAAGUUGUUACAUAAAUUAAGGAAGCAUUAAUCCACUUAAUUAAUUAGCUGACUUAAAAACGUCCUUAAAGGUAGGGAAUAUGUUAGUUCUUUUUUUAACGGCAGUAAAACUUUCACAUAUUCAUAGGAAUCGAUGUAUAUGUGUGUUUCUUAUUAUGUUAAAAUGGAGAGAGAGUAAACUAAUUAAUAAAAGUGAGAAUAUAUCAUUUAUCAUAUCAAUGUCUAAAACCUAUCUCAAUCUCAACCAGAUGUCAAAAUCAUACUAUAAUAAAGCUCAAUCUAACAAAAGUAAGUCUAACAUUUCUUGAAUCCAAAUAUAGUUCACAAACCAACAAUCUUCGCUUUCCCUUUUCUCAAAGCUUCUCUAAGGAUCUACUCUAUCAAAAACAUAAUCUAUGCAUUAUUAUGAGAAUAACAACACUCGUAUUGCACUACAUACUUCGGAUCUAAAAUGAUAUAAAAAAAUUCAAGUGGGUCCCACAUACGAAAAUUGAAUUUUUGAGACCAACCCAACGUUCAAAUACCAUUAUGAAGUUAAAGCCCUCAAGAAAUUUGUGCCAAAAAAUCAUAUUUGGAGCUAAAAUCGAGCCUCAAAGCCAUUUGAAAUUUUGGUCAAAAAUUCAAGAAAUUAGAGUAUGAACUGGAAGGAUUCUUACCUCAAAUCUGUUGUUGAUCAUAAAUAUAUAUUUUAAUCGAGCUUCUAAUGCACCCCCAAGACUCAAUUUGAAGUCAAUAUAUCAUUCUUGGUCUGCUAGGUUUCAAAGAAAGCUGAAAAAUGCCAAAAAUUCGGGCAAGAGUCUUUUUUAUACACGGCUAAAAAGGGCCCACAAGGUCAAAACUUGUUUUGAUCUUUCGAACUCAUCCGCACUCCAUUUUUUCACAAAACGAACUAUGCUCCACUAAAUUUGAUGUUCCAAACGUAUUGGUAAAGUCAAAUUUUUAAUCCAAGCUCAUUUAGGUCACUUGUGUGCCCCACACCCAUAUCUUUUGAUUAUUGACUUUUCGACCAAUAGGUCGAAAUGAAUUCAGGUGCAAUGGGAUCCGAACCAAGGGUCUACCCUAGCCUAAAAUCGAUAUAACAGAAUUGUUGGUGUUGUCAGAAUUUGCAUUAGAAAUUAUUUUACGAAAGUUUUCGCUCGGUGGCCAUUUAAAAUCGGCGAAGACUUCUAAACGAGAAAUGGGCUCUAAAAAUCAAACGAACUACCUGGUAACCUAACUAUCAGUUUCAACAAGCCAUAAAUGACUUAGGACAGUUAUAAAAAGCUCUAAUGUUGAAAAUAAGCAGGANNNNNNNNNNNNNNNNNNNNNNNNNNNNNNNNNNNNUAAUAGACUUGGGACUCAUUUCUACAUACGCAAGUGCGCAACUCUAGAAAUGUAAAUUGUGAAUACCGUAGAAACUAAUUAUCUGGCGACAAAGAAUUGAGACCACUAUACGUUUGGCUCGAUUGUCCAAAUUAGAGGUAUAACAAAAUAUUUAUCCAUGUAAAAUUGUAUUAAAACUCCAAGAAUGGUCCAUCGAGUCGAUACGAAACGACUAGUAAAAUAGUAGCCACUCAAGUGCAAUGAGCUAUACCGCCUAAGAGACACUUGAUCUUAGAUGCACGAUAAAAUGAAAAAUUAUAGGGAUCCCUCCUCAAGUAACUGAGGUAGGGGUGGCAAUUUCAUCCUAUAUUUGUAAAAAAAGUCCAUUUAAUUCAUAUUUAGUGAAUUGGAUCACUCAUAUUUCAAAUGGGUAAAUAUGGACUUCAACUCAUUUUAAAAGCUCAUACAAAUAUGGACAAAAUGGGUAAAAUAUGGGUACCCAUUUAAACACAGAGAUUACCCACUUAUGCUUAAAGUUUCAAUUUUUUUUCUUUUCUAGUUUCUUUUCUUCUUCUUUUUUCUAUUAAUUUACUUUUUUUAUUUUUCAUUUUUUUUUCAUUUUUUUACUCAUUCCUUAUAAUUUCUUUUUUUCUUUCUCAUUUUUUCAUCUAUUUUUUUAUUUUUAUUUCUUUUUUCUUUGUAUUCUUUUUUUUUUCGCUUUCCCCUUUUUCAUUCUUAUUUCAUCAUUCGUAUUCACUUGAGACCUACAUAAGUUAAUAAAUAUAAGCUUCUAAUUAUCCCAUUUAGCUUAUAUAAUUCAUAACAUCUCUUAUCAAUUAAAUAUAAUCCAUAGUCUCACCCCUUUAUUAAUAUUUUUUUCUAUCUUUUAUUUCUCUUUUUUUUUUCUUUUUUUUCUUUUUUAUUUCUUUUUUACUUUAAUUUACUAUUUUUUUCUUUAUUUUUUCCUUUAAUUUACUUUUUUUNNNNNNNNNNNNNNNNNNNNNNNNNNNNNNNNNNNNNNNNNNNNNNNNNNUCUUCUUUUUCAUCAUUUUUUUCUUUUUCAAUUUUAUUUCUUUGCAUUUUUUUUUUUGCAUUUUUGUUUCCCCCUUUUUCAUUCUUGGUUCGUCAUUUUUCUUAUUUUUUUCAUAUUCUUUUCCUCAUUUUUUUUGUCAUUGCAUUUUAUAUUUUUUUACUUUAAAUUUAUUUGUAUCAUACUAUAUAUUUCAAAUAAAUUUAUUAUUUGUAUUUGAAUAGCUUAGUUGUCAAUAUGUGCAAUUUAUCAUUUGUAUUUAUAUACAAAUAAGUAUAUGAAUUAAAAUUAACAUGGGUUGUGGUGCAGUGGAUGGGGCAGCUCCACCCUUAACCAGAGGUCGAGGGUUCGACCUUGGUUAUAGAGAAAACUCUGUUGGGAGCGCUGCCACCUUAAUGGGCCAUGCAGCGCCCAAUUCGGAUUAGUCGGGGCUCCAAUGCAAGCACCGGACACCGGAUGAAAAAUAAAAAAAAAAGUAUAUGAAUUAAUUGUAUUUUCUUGAGACUAAAAUAUAUAUAUGACUAAGGAUCCACAUAGCCCUCGAAUUAUAAAUGUUGGGCGAAUAUAAAUCAAUAUGCGCUUAUGGUAUUUUUGUUAUCAUAAAAAAAAAAACCAAAAAAAAAAAAAAAAAAAAAAGUAGAAAGAGAGGUAGAAGUUAGAGAUAGAAGAGAGAAAAAAGCGUAAAGAAAGAAUUGAAGGAAAAAAAUACAAAAAAAAUCAAAAAGAAAAAAUAAUGGAAAAAGAGAAAAGGAAAAAAGAAAAAAGAUAAUGGUGAAAACAAAUAUACUGAGUGGUUACAAUAUUUUAGUCAUCAUCAAUAAUUUGUACUCGACUUAACCAUGUUCUUCAAAAAUAAAAAAUAUAUAAAACAUAAAACACAACCCAAAAAGAAAAAAAUGAGAAAGAAGUAAAAAAAAAAAAGAGACUAAAAAGGAAAAGAAAAAAAAAAGAGAAACAAAGGACAGAGGGUAGAGAUAGAAGAGAGAGGAAAAAAAGAAAUGAAAAAAAAAAACUAGAGGCUACAUAUAGAAGAUAGACAAAAAAAACUAAAAAGAAAAAAUUAAAAAUAAAAUAAAAUAAAAAAAAGUCAAGUUGAUAUGAUAUAGAAGUUUUAAUUUUUUGACGUAGGAGUUAAAAGUGGGUUGGAACCAUUUUUACUUAAUCCAUAUUUGACCAAAUCCAUAUUUACCUAUAUUUAUAUGGGUGAAUUGUAAUUCAAACUAUUUUUGCUUGAAAAUUCAAUCCAAUCUGCCCGUUUGUCACCCCUAAACUGAGGUAUGAAAAAAGCACCGAGAGUCAAGAAGUAGUGUUUAACCUGUUGAUUUAACCGAUUUGAAUGACAUACUACAAUUAAAAAAACAGUUUGCAAAUGAAUUUGAACAUCGAUUUAUAUGAGUCAAUACUUACUAACUUGGCUCUGGUAGAGUAGGUUGCCCUCAGCGUGUAACCCCAUCGGGAACACCCACGAAAAAGUCAACUAUAGCCACUUUAAGAACAUACCUCAGAGUUAACAAGUUUUGAGUUUAUUACGGAAAGAAAUAUUUAACAAGUACAUAGUAAAUGCUGAAAUAGAAAAAACAUGUAAGGCACCAAUGUCAUACAUCAAAAAGUAUUGCACUAGUUCCUUUUCAACUAAAAUGGACUGCCAGUAUUUUCCCCAUAAAUACGCCCGAGAUAGGUUUGUGAUCCACUGCGACGCAAGCAAGCUCGAGUCGGGACGCAUACUCUAUUAAUUGCAAUCAGAUAAUCGAGGUUUCAAACAACUAUCUUUUGUCGCCAGAACCAGGAUCGAAGUUCUUUUGGCUCAAGGUAGUUGGGUCCAAUAACCUUUGCUAAUAAGCUCCCUCGAAAGCAGUCCCUCAAGUACGGAGGCCGACCUCAACUCACUGAAAGACCUUUUUUGCCCCAAAUCUCACCCACAAUUUUUAUGAGUCUGGAACUGAAAGGGUUAAUUUUUGGAGUGAAAAUGUCAAAAGAGGACAAUUAAUGUUGAAAAAAAUCAAAUGGGACAAAACGUCCUUAACCAAUAAUUUAGCAGUCAUUGGUGGGUUAGUGACUUGUAAGUUGCUGGACUACAACAGCUUUCUUUAAUUUUCCAUUUAUUCUCAACCUUCCUCUAUAUAAGUUUCUUUCCGUUUCUUCUCCGUGUUAUUUAUAUCAUUUGAGUUUCUGUCAAAUUUUCCAACUGUUUAUUAUUGGACUAUACCCCUUGAAGCAUCAACAUUCAAUUUUGAAAAUACAUAGAUCAUAAGGAUCAAAUUCAUUGCCAGUGAAGUUCUUGAAUAAUAGGGCAACAUUAAGUAAAUGCGAUUAUCAGAAAUUUCCACAAUAAAAAGAAAUAAAGACAAAGAAUCAUCACUCCAAAUAGAAUUCUCAUCAAACGUUAUAAGUUUAUUGGCUAAAAAAGAUGUUUGUUACCGUCCGGUGAUAACCACCACAUCCGUUGAAUUACUUCUACCGAUUCUGUUUUUUAGUAGACGUUGCAAUCGCUCAUAUUUACGAAAUAAUGGAUACACUUGUAUAAUUACAGGCGAUCGACUAUAUCUUACAGAACCUGCUUCAUAUAAAACAUGACCACUUCAAUAUAAAUUUACUCUAAGACAACUUCUACAACUUAUUCAAUAUAACAAGGAAUUAAAAAAGAAAGGUUUAAGUCAAAUAAAAUAUGAAGAAGAAACUUACAUACAAAAAUAAAAAAUUAAAGAAAGUUCUCGGAGGGCCAACGAUUUGUAAGUCGCUACGAUUUUUUUUUCAAUAUUCAUAGUCUUUUUUGAUAUCUUUACGCCAAAAACUAUCUUUUUCAACUAGGGACUCUAUAAAAAUGCAUACACCUAUUCUAUCUCUUUAUUUUGUACUUUUUUCAUUUUAAAAUAAUUGAUUAUUUUUUAAAAAAUAUUUAUUUUUAUUUAGUUGUCCCUCGAAUUUAAUUAUGUUACUUCAAAACUAUCAUAUCAUUAAAUAAUUAAAUAAAACAAAUAUACUCAAAUUUAUAUUUUUAAAAUAUAAUUAAUAAAACUAAUUUAAUAAAAUAAUUUUUUAAGAAAUACUACUUUAAAAAAAAUACUACUAUUAAUUUAAGGGAUAAUUACAUAUCUUAGUCAAUAUUGACACCUAAUUACCUUAUUUAGCCUAAUUUCAAUUAAUUACAAUCCAUAACCUCUCUUGCCUAUUAAUUUUUCAUAAUUACAAUUCAUAGCCUCUCAUGUAUUUUUUCUUUUUCUCUAUUUUCUAUUACUUUUCUUUUUCAGUUUUGUCCUUCUUUUUUUCUUUUCCUUUUUUUUUCGUUUGCUCUUUCUUUUCUUUUUUCAAUUUUUAUGUUUUCUUUUUUUUUUUUCGUUUGUAUUUUUUCUUUAUUUUUUUCCUUUUUAUUUUUUCUCCAUUUUUUGUUUUUUUUUCUCUAUUUUCUAUUACUCUUUUUUUUUCAAUUUUUUUCUUCAUUUUUUAUUUUCCUUUUUUUGUUUUCUCUUUCAUCUUUCUUUUUUUAUUUUUUAUUUUUCGUUGUCUUUUUUUCAUUUUUUCUUCCCUUUUUUGUCUUUUUUCAGUUUUUUCCUUCUUCUUUUUUUCUUUUUUUCGUUUUCUCUUUCUUUUUUUUUUCCAAUUAUUUUAUAUAUAUAUAUUUUUUUUUUUCUUUUUUUCCUCCUUUUUUUUGUUUUUUUUCUCUAUUUUCUAUUUUUUUCAGUUUUUUUUCUUCAUUUUUUUUCCAUUUUUGUUUUUUCUUUCUUCUUUCUUUUUCAAUUUUUUCUUUUUCGGUGUCUAUUUUUCAUUUUGUCUUUUUUUUUUCUUUUUAUUUUUUCUCCUUCUAUUUUUUUCUUUUAUUUUUUUCUCUAUUUUCUAUUACUCUCCUUUUUUUGUAUUUUUCUCACAUUUUUUCAUUUUUUUCUUUUUAUUUUUCUCCUUAUUUUCAUUUUUUGCGAACUAGCAAACAUAAAAACAAGUGCGAAUAAAUACAAGUGUGAACUAUAAACUAUAAAUACAAAGGCGAAUUAUAACAUACAAAUAUAAGUGAAAAUUACAAAAUACAAAUACAAAUGUGAAUUAUAACAUAUAGAUACAAAUGUGAACUAUCAUUUGUAUUUUUUAAUUAUUGAAAAAUAACGAUUGAUUUUUUUUUUUAUGAAUAUUUGUUUGUAUUUAUUUAUACGAGUUGUUUUUAUUGAUACAAAUAAAUACAAUCCAAAUUUUUAUCAAAAUACAAUAUAUAUUUGUAUUAUUCAAAUCGUUGGUUUCAUUUGCUUGUAAUUGUAUUUGUAUCAAGUUAUAUUUAUUUAUUUAUAUAUACGAAUAAUAAUUUUGACAUACAAAUACAAAACGGUACAUUUGUAUCAAAUGAUAAAUUGCAUAUUUAUAUAUUUUAGAAUCAAGAAAAUACAAUUAAUGCAUUUACUUGUUUGUAUACAAAUACAAAUGAUAAAUUGUACAUAAUCACGCCUAAAUAUAAUAUGCAAUCAACUUACAAAUAUCAAUGCAAAAUAAUUCUUUAAAAAUAAAAAGACAUCGACAAAAAUAGAAUACAAAUACAAAUAUAAUCUAAAUAUACAAACACAAUAAAAUCAUAAUACAAAUAUAAUUCAAUAUAAUAUACAGUCAAUUAUAAAAUACAAAUACAAAACAGUUUUUUAAAAUACAAGAGCAAAUGAUAUAAAAUAUAAAUAAUGGUGCGAACUAACAAAUACAAAUACAAGUGCGAACUAUAAAAUACAAAUAUAAACGCGAACUACAAAAUACAAAUAUAAGCGCGAACUUUAUAAUACAAAUACAAAAAUAGUUGUAUCAAUGAAUACAAAAAUAUGAAUAACGGUGUGACUACGAAUAGAUAAACAAUUAUGGUAUUUACAUUAUCAUCAAUGACUUGUGCUCGAAUAGUUAUAUUUUUUAAAAAUACAAAAAAUAUAAAAUAGAAAAAAAAAAAUGAUAAAGAAAAUAACGACUUAACCAUGUUCUUCGAAAAAUAAAAAAAUAAAAAACAUAACAUACAACUAAAAAAGAAAAUAAUGAAAAAGAAGCAAAAACAAAAAAAAUAAAAAUAGAAAAAAUUAGAAAAAAGAAGAAGAAAAAAUGAGAAAAAUACGAAAAAGAAGAAAUAUAAAAAAAAAAAAAGAAAAAAAAUGGUAGUGUUUUUGGCAAGAAUAAAUAUGUAGUGUAUUUAUGUUUUUAUGAAUACAGACCACUAAGUAAAAGUAAAUACAACGGCUGUGAAUCGAAUACAUCAGCUAAAUGGUACUGUAUUUAUAUUUUAUAUGAAUAUAGAUUAUUGAUAAAAUUGAAUACAACGAGCGUAAAUUGAAUACAAUAACUAUAAAUAGUAAUUAUAUAAAAUAUGGCUAUGAAAAGUGAAUUUUCCAGUAAAAUAUAGCUAUUUUUGAAAGAUCCUAGAAGUUAACAAGACAACUAUUUAAGUAAAUUCCUUGAAUGGUCACUCAUGUUUGAAAAAUUUCCUACAAAUAUCACUUUUGUUUUAUUUAGGACAAGAAUGUCAUCCAAUUUUUCUUUUUUUCCUUAAAAUAUACUUAAGACCUCAAAAAUCUUUUUCUCCUACUUAGAAUGUCAUGUCAUUAAUUUUUUUUUUUAUAUAUAAAUGUAUAACUUAUCAAACUUAUUUAACUAAAGUUUUAUCCAAAUUUUUUUUUUUAAAAAAACAAAAUUAUACAUGAUAUAUUAAUCAUUGAAGAUUAAUUUAAUUAUAUCAAAAGCUUGAGUUAUUUUAUUUGAUAUGUAAUCUUCAAAGUUUCUUUUAUUUACUUAUUUAAUUCACCACUUAAUAAUAAUUUUAAAAUACAACUACUUAUACGAAUUGGUACAAUAAUUUUUUUGUCGUUUUAUUUUAUAUACUAAAAAUUCUUAGAAUGUAAAAGAAAUAAAACGAUGGAUUUCAUAUUUUAGACAUUAAGUUUGUUAUUUAUAUGAGAAUAAAAGAAUUAAAUCUCCUUUUUUGAAGGAAAGAAAAAUUAUGUAGUCUUGAAACAAAUUAAAUUUUUUAAGAAAUAUUAACAAAAUGAUUACCUUCUUCAGUACCAUUACAAAUGUAUUUUUAAAAUAUUACUCAAUCAAUUAUUAUUUGCUUUUGAUAAAUUUAGAAUGAAGUACGGAUAUAAAUUAGUGUUUAAUUUUAUAAUAAAGUAAAAUAUAAAUAUAAUGAUCACAAAAAAAGUGAAGAAACUAAAUUAAAAAUAAUAAUUUUUUUCUAAAUUUUUAUGUCUUAUCUUAUGGAUUUACUUGAUUACCUUGCAUAAAAAGUUGCAAGUAAUGUACGUCCAAGUUAAAUUUUUCAGGAACUAAUACAUAUUAAAAUUUUCUUAUUGAAUUUUAUUUGACAACAAAAAACAUCGUAGAUUUGCCAUCAAUACUUUUAAAUAACAAAUUAUAUUCUAUUAUUCUAUAUUUGAAGGUAAUAUAAUAUCUUUGGAUUAUAUUAAUCCAAAAAUUAUUUGUAUAAUCCAAAAAAAGUGAAUUUUAUUCUUUUAUUCUCAUAUAAAUAAUAAAUUUAAUGUCUAAACUAUGAAAUCCGUCAUUUUUAUUUAUUUUACAUUUUAAGAAUCUUUAAUAUUUAAAAUAAAUAACAAAAAAAAAUUAAAUGAGUACCAAUUUUCAUAAGUACUUGACUUUUAAAUAUUAUUAAGAGUAAGAUGGAUGAAGUGGAGGCUCGCCUCGGCCCUUGUGAGUGAUGUGCGAUAAGAAGGUGCCCAUUAAGCUUAAAGGUAAAUUCUAUAGAGUGGCAGUUCGUCCGGACAUGUUGUAUGGAGCAGAGCAUUGACCGGUUAAGCACGCUCACAUCUAGAAAUUGAAGGUGGUGGAAAUGAAAAUAUUGCGUUGGAUGUGCGGGUUUAGUAGAGGGGAUAGCGUUAGGAAUGAGAUUAUCUGGGAGAAGGUGAGAGUGGCUUUGAUGGAGGACAAGAUGCGGGAAGGAAGACUGAGAUGGUUUAGGCAUGUGAUGAGGAGGGGCACGGAUGCUCCGGUUCGUAGGUGUGACAGGCUAGCGUUGGAUGGCUUCAGGAGGAGUAGAGGUAGGCCAAAGAAAUACUGGAGGGAGGUGAUUAGACAUAACAUGGAACAACUUCAGCUUACUAAGGACAUGACCCUAGUUAAGAAGGUGUGGAGAUUGAAGAUAAAGGUAGAAGGCUAGUGUUAGUGUGUGGGUUGUAACAAGCAGUCAGGAGAGUUCUUGUGUAGUCAAGUUAAUAAUCAUAGGGCAGUGUACAUAGGUGUCUUUGGUAUGUGCGUAUAUGUUACUACUAGGUGGGUGUCCUAUUUCUUAUUUCUUAGUUCCUAUUUUUCUUAUUCCAUGUUGCUCUUAUUUCCCGUAUCUCAUAUUUCUCUGAUUUUAUUUUAUUAUUUCUUAUUCUUUAUUUCGAUUAUGUCAUUCAUCCCCUUAUUUACUAUCCUUUAUCUUGAGCCGGGAGUCUAUCAGAAACAAGUUCUCUACCUCUUCGAAGGUAGCGGUAUAGACUGCGUACGUCUUACCCUCCCAAGAUCCCACGUUGUGGGAAUACACUAGGGUUGUUGUUAAAGUGGUGAAAUAAAUAAGUAAAUAAAAGAAACUUUGAAAAGUACAUAUCAAAUAAAAUAAUUCAAGUUUUUGGUGUAAUUAAAUUAAUCUUCAAUUAUUAGUAUAUCAUAUGUAAUUUUUUUUUAAAAAAAGAAUUAGUAUAAAACUUUAGUUAAAUAAAUUUGAUAAAUUAAAUAAAUCUAUUUAUAAAAAAAAAAUUUAAUGACGUGACAUUUCAAGUAAGAGAAAGAAAAUUUUUAAGGUGUUAAGUAUAUUUUAAGAAAAAUAAAAAAUAUUAAAUAAUAUUCUUAUUCUAAAUAAAAUAAAAAUAAUAUUUUUAGAUAAUUUCUCAAACAUGUAUUACCAUCUAGAAAAUUUAAUCCAACUAUUUUUGAGGGGUAGAGUAUCCAUAUCCUAUCACGAGAAUUACGAGGUGUCCUGAAUGGUCAUGUCACUCCAUAAAGCCUCGUAUACACGAAAUCCUAAAGCCACGUAUACACGAAAUCCUAAGGAUUUGAAUUUUUAUUUUGACUUUCAUUUUUACUAAACUUGUACUCACUCCUUCCAUUAUUUUACCCACUCUUAUAAAAUAGAAUUAAAAUUAAAAUCACAAUAUUAAUUAGUGUCGUUUGAUAUGAUUGAUAAUGGAGUGGUUUAAAAUUAUUUUGAAAAAAUAUAUAAAAUUAUUUAUGCUUUCAAUUAAAAAUAUAUUUUAAAUAAAAUUAUUUUUAUAAAUAGUGAAAAUUAGAAUAUAUUUUUAAGAUAGGCAUACGAAAAGAAAAAACAAUUAAAUUAAAAAGGCAGGAAUAAUUAGAGGUGCGUAAAAAUCGAACCGAUAAAAAUGUUAUUGGGUUAACAAAUUUUUAUUGGUUUUAUAAAAAAAUUUAUUGGAUUUACAGUUCGAUUUAAGUUUUAGCUUAUUGGAUUAUCGAUUAAACCGAUAACCCAAUAAGGAUACACUAAGUUACUGUUUUACCCCUAUUUAUGUUACAUCUAUAAAUAUUUAUAUAGAUAUACUAUUUAUUCACAAUUUAGUGAUUCACAAAGUAUUAACCUAUUUAGGGCAACACAGAUACAAUAUAAAGUACGAAUAUCAUCGUAUUGAAAGGCUUAUAUAUAUAUGUACACACACGCACUACUUUUUCACAAUUCAGUGAUUCUCAGAGUAUUAACCUAUUCAGGGGGAUAAAGUUACAAUAUAAAGUACGAAUAUUAUCGUAUUGGAAAGUUUGAACCAUUUAGUAGCUUCCAAUAAUUAGGAUUCAGUUUUUUCUCAAAUUAACAUUCAGUUCAAAUUUGAAGAUUCUUGUAAAUUAAAAUAUAUUGCAUAGGAUUUUGGUGGUAGCUAAAAUUUUAUUUUUUUAUGUUAGUUGUUACUAUUUCUAUUUUUUAAGUAUUUUCUUAUUGGUUAAACCGAAAAUCAAACCGUUAAGGACCAAAAAUUGAUAAACCAAAAUCAAUAAAAAAAUAUCUUAUUGGUUGGUUAUUGAUUUUACACAUUUAAAAAUUAAAAAUCGAUAAAUCAAAUCAAUAAUACAUUAAAUCAAAUGGAACCGACCGAUGCACACUCCUAGAAAUAAUUUACGAAUCAGAUUUCAAAUUUUUAGAUGUACAUCAUAUCAAAUCAACCAUAAAAUUAAAUUCAAUUAAUAUAGGAGCAAAUACUACUUUGGAAUCUGGCCAUCUUGGAACCUCAACACUUUUAUAUGGAAAAACUGUUGGAGUUACUUGAUAAUGACUUGGAUCCAUUAUUAGUUGUACAUAGUGGGUCUCGUAGAUAUUAUAUUUAUGUGUAGUGUCUUUGUAUUUGUAUUUCUAUACCUACUAAAUAUAUAUAUACACACAUGGGACCCGACCCAAUACACUAAUAAGAUAUUUUUUCUUCAUCUUUCAUUUUUUGAGGAUUGAAAUAGAAGAAUAAACUGUUUUCUCCAUUUUUUUCUCUCUAGAACCUUCCAGUGGUUCCAUGGUUGCUUUACGCUUGAUGUCUCAUUUUCACAUGUUAACGUGGUAUCAAAGCUCGGAUGCUGAUAGAUUUGGGUUCCCUCCUUCAUUUGGUGCAUUUUUUGCGGAUUAGUGAAGCGUUUUUUUGGGUCUUUACGGUUUUCGUCGACGAUUAGACGAAAUCCUUCGUCGAUUCUCGAUUUGCAGUGGUUCUCAAGAGGGUUUCCAAGGUUUUAUAGUUUUUUUCAACAACUGGACGGAAUUCGUUCUUUGUCAUUGGAGAUUCUGAAGUUGCAGUGAUUUGUGGAGAAUUUUUUGGUGUUCUCAUCGGUUAACCGGUGUUGCAGUAGACAAGACAGUUUCUCUUUUCGGCAUUGAAAGAGGCUGGUAUUUUCUUCUCAUCUUCUCUAUUUGGUGUUUUGACUCAAUGGAUGGUGUUCCUUCUUCAUCUCCUAGAGUGUGUCUACUGUCUCACCUCGAACUGAGUUUCACAGGAUGAUUAUACUCAUCCCUGUCACCCACUGUAUGUUCACCCUUAUGAUAUUCUAGGGGUUCACUUGUUGCUAUUUCAUUUGAUGGCACUGGUUAUGCCAGUUGGAGAUGGACUAUUCUAGUCACUCUUUCAGUGCGCAAUAAGCUUGAAUUUGUCGAUGUAAGUACAGUACGACCUUCGUUUGAUUCUCCUUUGGCCAGACAAUGGCAGAGAUGUAACGAUCUCGUUCUAUCUUGGCUUCUUAAUUCCUUAUCCAAGGAAGUCAGUAAAAGUGUUGAAUAUUCUGGGUUUGCUAGUGAAGUAUGGAAUGAACUGGAAGAGAGGUAUGGUAAAGUCGAUGGUGUUAGGGUUUUUGAGUUGAAAAAGGAACUUGCACAUAUUUCUCAAGGGUCCUUAAAUAUUGUGUUUUACUUCAACAUGAUUAAACAACUUUGGGAUGAAUUAGCAUCCAUUUUGACUAGGCGAGCCAGAUCUUGCACUUGUAAUGCUAGGCUUUUAUACUAGGAAGAUGGGGAUGAACAGAAGCUCUAUCAGUUUUUAUUGGGCCUGAUGCCUACACCCAAGUUAGGAGUCACAUUCUAAUGAUGAAGCCAUUACCUUUGGUUAGCUUGGCAUACUGUCUCCUUCUAAAUGAUGAGAAACAACAAGUAUCCACUUCUCCAUCCUUGUUCUUCUCAUACCCAUCUAUUCCAAUUAAUGCUGGGGUAAUAAGGAAUUUCACUUACUCACCUAGGAUUACUUUUGACACAUCUGGACCCAAACCCAAUUUAGUGUGCAAAUAUUGCAAGAAACCAGGCUACAACAUUGAUAAAUGCUGCAAACUACAUGGCUUUCCUCCUGGCUUCAAAUUUACCAAGUCUCUAGGUCCUCGAAGGGCUGUUGUACAUGCUGAAACUGCACCACCUGUUGAGCCUGCAGUUUCCAGUACUCCAGUCACUACUUCCCCACUUCUUGGACUUACUGUUGAUCAACAUACUCAGCUUUUAAGCCUGCUGCAGCAGACUCAACUGUCCCAGCCUGCUCCUGAUGCACCUUCAUCUUCUUUGAUGGCUUCUGCUGCCUUUGCUGGUAAGUUGGCUGAUGCCAUCCCCUUGUCCCAAUCCUGUAUGCUCACUACAGUAGAUAAUUUCUUAUGGAUCAUAGAUAUUGACAUCUAAUUUUUGCCCUCUACGAUUAAAUUUAAUCCUGACUUUAUUCAGUUUUUAAUAAACCAAAAUAAUUAUUUCAUCCAAAUAAAAAAAAAACUUAAAAUAUUUUUCGUACGUGAUUUUAUCAUUUUAAGUAGCGAUUAUAUACUAUCGUGUUCAGUUAUACGAGAUUAUACAAUUUAUUACUUAAAUAUUUAUUUUACAAAAUAUCGAAUAUAAUUAAGGCUUAUCUUGAAAAUAAAUUCAAAUGAUUAAAAUCUUAAUUUAAAUAUAAUUUAUUCUCAAAAAUAAUUUAUUUGAAUAAAUAUGCAUUCAUUUUAUUAAAUCAAGAAGCUCGGAAUAAAAAAAAAGAUAUUAAUUCGUAUUGAAUUUUAAUUUAAUUUAGUCAAUCUAUUAGAUUUGACCAUAAUUGAAAAGUGGUCAUAAUUGUAAUGCAAUUCGUCAAUUAAUUUUUAAUUUGGUCAAAAUAAAUAAAUAUGGCUAAAUUUUAAAUUCCAAUUGAGGUUAUAGUUUAAAUAACCCCAAAAUUCUCAAGAACUCUUAUAACUUUUACCCAAUUUCCAUCAAAAAAUAAAUUCAAAUUGUACUAUUCCCCCCAACUUUGUCCUUUUUCAAUUUUGAAAUUCAAAGUUUGUACUACUUUGUACUAUUUCCCCUCACAUUAUCUUCCACCUCACCUUAUCUUUAAUCUUUACAUUCCAACCCCCCUAAAUACUUUUUCUCCCACAUUGGUGGGUGACAAGAAAUAAAUCUCUAUCCUUUUCUAUAAAAUUUUUCUCCACAUAGGUGGAAAAAGAAAAAAACACCCCAUUAUCUUCUAUAAAUACUACCACUACUUUGGUAGAGAAGGAGAAGGAAGAAAAAAAAAGG
rnacentral:lncRNA from 1 species